GCAGCCAUCCUUUAAAGAGUGCGUAAUAGCUCACUGGUCGAGCGAUUUUGCGCCGAAAAUGUAACGGGGCUCAAGUUCACAACCGAAGCUACGGACUUGCAUCGCAAGGUGUGAGUGGUAGGGGAGCAUUCUCUGUGCGGUGAAGGUUGACCGACAAGGACAACUGGAGCGCAGAGAAGAGAUUAUGCAGGCAUAAGUAGCGAUAAACGAUGUGAGAAUCAUCGUCCCCGUAAGCCUAAGGUUUCCUGGCCUAUGUUCGUCAGGUCAGGGUGAGUCGGAUCCUAAGCCGAGGUCGACAGACGUAGGCGAUGGCAAACAGGUCAAUAUUCCUGUACCACCGUAUUGACGUUAUCAGCGAAGGGGGGACGCAGAAGGGUAGGCACCGCCGGGUCCCUGGAAUACCCGGUCCAAGCAGGUAGGCGGGGGUUGUAGGCAAAUCCGCAAUCCCGUUAACGCCGAGAUGUGAUGGGGAGGCCGCAAGGCCAUAAACGGGCUGAUCCCACGCUGCCGAGAAAAGCCUCGUAGCGAGUCAAUAUGAUGUCCGUACCGCAAACCGACACAGGUAGGUGGGUG
rnacentral:rRNA from 1 species